UUUAGUAUUUAUUUUGCCUUUCCCUUCCCAAUGGAGUUGUUUGCUUUUGUACAUGUAAAUUUGCUUGACUAUAUAAUCUUUUUUCCAUGUGGCAUUUGAGAAUUGGAAUGAAGAUAUUCCUGUACGAUUCAUCUUCUUUACCUUUCUUUUUUCUUUUCUUUUAAAAAUCAAAUAGACUUGCGAUUGUUCGUCUUCCUUUCUCGAUAGUUGUGUAAAUUUCUUUUUAUUUUUAUUUUGUUCAAUUGAUUCAUGGAAAAUAUAAAUUACUUGGAUUUAAAUACGCUUGCAAGUAUGUUCGAGUCUGCAUCUUCCUUUGUUGAUUGAUUGGUUUAUAUAAAUCUCUUUUAUUCUUAUUUUCUCCAAUUCAUUCAAUUUGGAGUGCAUGUGCACACGGAGCAGCCUUUUUUUUUCCCCCUCCUAAUUCACGGAGCAUUAAUUAGCAAAUUUUUGUAACAAACCAAGCCAAAUUCCAGAAAGAAAACGGUCUUGGUCACUGGUGGCAACCACAUUUGAGUUUAUGGUAAUAUACGCUGCAAAUUGUUAAUGGCAUCUUGCUUGUCUAGCCCGCUGUACUUUGUCGAUUUAUUGGAGAUGGUAUGCAUUGCAGCUCUGGUGUAUAUGUAAAUAAGUGUGUGUAUUAUGUUUUUCUAAAGAUCUAUGCUUUAUCUCCAUUUCUUAGUUUCUCAAUCAUCGAAGAUUCUUAUUUAUUGAUUGCCAAUGGUCCCUUAUAAUUCUGGAUAACUGUUGUCUCUAAAGCUGUGCUAUUCUAUUUUAAGAUUGCCUUUCUACUUUUUGUUUUUGCUAGAACAUCAAUUCAUUGACCUAAAAGAAUGAAAAAAACUCAUAGUUUCUCAUCUUUUAAGUUGGGUUGGUCACCUGAAAUAUUCAGGUAAAAAUUUAUUAUUAUUAAUCAAGACAUAUGGAACGAAACUGAUCUGAAAAUAAUGUGCAGUCGGUUGUGGAUAUUCAAGAAAAGUACAGGGACUUUGAUUCCGGAGACUGUUAUUCACAUGGGAAAUCUGUUUUGCCAUAUCUUCAGAAUCAUUAAGAGUAGAUUUGCGACCCCCACCUGUUUCACAUCUUGAAGGAUAAAGUAGACUUGGGAUGAAAAAGUUUGUAUAAAAUCUGGUACUGAGUGAAAGUUGAGACUGCUUAAGAGGUCCAAUAGGUAUUGAGUGAAAGUUCAGACUAUUUAAGAGGUCCAGUUUGCAUAUAGCUGGGUUAGUGCGUCAAGAGUUGUCAUUUUCAGCUUAAAAUUUAGAUGAGACUAAACUUUCAAUAUCCAUGUUCUUGAUAGCUAGCAAGUGUCUUCAAAGAGUGUAUUUGAGUUACUUAUCUAUAGAGUACCCAAGAUCAUCCCAUCAGUACCACAUACCUAUUUUCUCUAGGUCAUGGCAACCAAGACAUGAACUGCUAUGCCCCUGUCAGUAUGCACUGCAUUACGCUUGACAGCAGGAAAAACUGACGCUAAACUAUAGAAUACUCAUCUGUGCCAGUUUCCAUCUGAAAAAUGUGCACUGAAUGUUUGAUAAGCGUUUCUUCACUAUGGAUAGACAAUUCAAUUUCACUUCAAGCUUAGUUAUACCAUCAAUGAAAAAAUUUAUGGGAUCAAGUCAAAGUUACCUACAACCUGGUUUGUUUCGAGAACUGGGACUAAAAAAAAAAUGCUGAAUGCUGCUUAAAUUUGAAAUGCUCAACUUGAUUCAUCCAGUAAAGGGAAUGAUUUAGGUUGUAGUCACAUUGGCCUGAUCUCCUGGACUUGAUGGCUUCACAUUAGCCUUUUCUGCCUUUGCUGUGAAGUAGCGGGUAUAAAAAGUAUCAAAGGGUACAAAGGUUGUUUUGAAAAGAGUUUAAAUUAUACCUUUGUGGCUUUGUUGCCUAAGACAAAAAAGGGAUGUGAAGUCAGAGACUAUAGCAAUCGGCUUGACUGAUAGUGCUGAAGUUAUUGCAAAAAGAUCUAGCUCUUAGGAUGGAAACAAGUGUUGAUCGCAACCUUAACUUUUUCUUAGGAUGCCUUUGUGAGGGGCAGGCAGAUUUUGGAUAUAAAGUUACUACUAAUGAAUUUUUGGAUUACACAUUCAAAGAGUGGUCCAAGUUGCUCUCUGAACCUGAUUCUGGGAAGUUUGAGUUAUGACCAUGUUGACUCGAGGAGUGUAUGCGUGUUUUGGAGCUAAAUGAAGACAUUUUAUCUUUCUCUGCUUGUUUAUCGUCAAAUUCUCCAUUUUUGUUGAAUGGACCUCUUGCGGCUUUUUUAGAAAUUUAAGGGGAAUUGUAUGAGGGUCUCUCUUAUCUUCCCUCUUAUUGUUGAUGGGCAUAUAAGCAUUUACAAGCUUAUAAAAAAGGUUAAGCAUAGGAUUCUUAAUUAGGGGUUUCAGCCCUUGUUGAUAUAUGAAGUAUGGAUAUUCCUAAGGUGGUUUGUUGAUGUCAGCUUAUAUAGUUUUUAUAUAUUUUUAAUUUUUUUAUUCAAUCUAUCAACAACAUGAAUUCACAAAUUUGUGUAAAUUUUUUGACUUCAAAUUAUGAAGUAUUUAGUUAUUACAAAAAAAAAAAUGUUAAAAAUGUCAAAUUAGUUUGAAUCUACGAAUUUCAUAUUGAAUUUUUUGUUUUGUAUCUAUCUAACAUAAGUAAUAUUAGAAAAUCCUUGAUUCAAAAGGUUUUACAUGCAAGUUUCAAAAUCAGAGCUAAAAAUAGUAUUGAUGUUAUUGAAAAAUUAAAACUAAAAUUAAAGAAUUCUAAUUGACUUUUUUUUGAAGUGUUGGCUUCUCAGGGGCCGUGUCAAUUUCUGGGCUUCAUAAGUUCUGAUCACGUUGAUUGUGUUUGUUGGCCAUCUUCGGUUCAUUGAUGAUCUCAUUGUGCUUUAUAGUGACUAGAGUCAAUUGUGGUGUCUAUGGAAUGUGUUGUGUGGUUUGAGACCUGAAGUUAUAUGAAUUUACUAUUCCCCAUGGCAAGUGCUAAAUUUAAUGAGUUGGCAGAUAUUCUAGCCUUUGGAAUCUAAUUUCAAGUUUGUUGAUAUGUGGAAUCCUAUUGUGGAGAAUUUAGGGGACAAGUUGGCUAGCUGGAAAAGUUUUAAUUGUCAAAGGAAGGCCGACUCUGCACCUACACUUCGUUCUCCAAUUCACCAGGUUUCCGCAGUCACUUGCUCUAUUCCAUAGGUUUUGAGAUUUCCUAUUCAAAACUAAUAAACUAUGCAGCUGACUCUCAAGUUCACUUGAUAUAAUCUCUGCAAUUGAGUUUGAUCAAAGUGGUGACCACUUUGCUAUCGGUGACCGUGGUGGAAGGGUGGUAUUAUUUGAAAGAAAUGAUGCGAAAGACGUGAUGUUCAAAAUAUUCGAGUGCUAAUUUAUUUAAAUUAUAUUCUUCCCUUUUCCUUUUGCUACUUAUUUUGCAGCAUGGUGGAAAUAGAAAAGAUUUGGAGAUGAUGGACUAUCCAGGUACUCGACAUUCAGAGUUUCAUUACAAAACUGAAUUUCAGAGCCUUGAACCUGAGGUAUUUAUUUCCACUUUUGUUCAUUGCCUAUCUGUAUGUGCCCAUGAGAUUCGAUCAUUGGUCUUUGUAAAUAUGCUGCCCUAUAUAUUAACAAUGAAGUUGUGAAUGGUCAUCUUGAUGUCUCUACUCUUUUACAGAACUAUACACUAAUGAAGUAAUAACUUUCUGUAUUUGUUUCAUAAUACAGCCGGGGACAACAUUUGUGCUUUAACUUACGAUGUGGGUGUGGAUGAAUUUUACAGUCUUUGUGAUUGAGGCAAAUGGGAAGACUGAUGGAUUUACAUCUAGUACAAAAUCAAAUAGCAUUUGUAUUCAAUGUUGAGGUUGUUGUAGCUAUUACUUUGCCUUUCACAUCCAGGUCAAAUGUUUCAGCAUGGCUGAUAUGGCUGACGAAAUUAUAAAGCUUAACAAUUUCUCAAAUGUGGAAUCUCCCAAAAACCAGAAAAUUCGCACCGAAAUAGGAAGCUGGCGACCUGAGGUAUGUGGAUUUAGUAUUUGCUUUAGUUUAGGGUUAUUUCUGGCUUCAUUUUUAACUUUUUCUUUUUUCAAAAUAUUUGUCCACUUGUGAUGAUUUUACUUUUGAAUCUUGUAUAUUUUUUCAACUUAAUUUUUCUUUCUGUGUUUCUGAGUGUAGAAUUACAUUUUCAAUUGAGGGAAUUGACAAAUUGUUUUCUAACUUUUCUGGAAGUUUCCUAUAGUACCACAAAAAUCUGACGGAAUAGGACAGUAGCAACAUCAGGUAUUGUGAUUUUAUAUUUUUUUACUUUAGGGUUCUUUUUUCCGAAAAUAAUUUUGUCUGUCUAUUCUUCAUGAUUUUACUUUGAGAUCUGGUGUAAUUUCAAUCGUAUUUUUGUUUUCUUGUUUCUAUGUAUACAAUUAUAUUUUUAAGUUGGUCAAAUCGAUGGAUGUAGUGGCGCGUUCUUUGUUUCGGGAGUAAGGUUUUUCAAAAGAGAUGGUUCUUUCACUUAAUUUUUCAAGGGUUCUUAUACAAAUUUUGCAUUUUCGUUAAUGAGUCUUUCUUUUCUUCUUCAAAUUUAGUUUGCCUGAAGUUUAAUUUUUCGUUACUGUUUCUGUGUGUACAAUUCUAUUUUCAAGUUGGUGGAAUUUAUGGACGUAGUUUUUCAGUCUUUCUUUGGUAAGAUCUUUUUAAAAACAUCCUCAUUCCAGAUAUUUUUUCGUAAGUUUGUGUACAAAUUUUGCAACGCUUCAAUGACUCUUCGUUUUCUUCUUCAAAUGUCUUUUGCCUGAAGUUUUUACAUUCUUUGGUGUUCAAUGUUUACUGCUUGUAGGCUUUUACUUUUCUUUUGGUCAAUUGUUUAUAUUAAGUUAUGCCUCUACAUUUCUAAUAAGAAGUUGUUUUUCCAGUUGUGUUUGCUCAAUGUACUAACAUAUACCUUUCCUUAAAAGAGAGGAUAGCAUAUACUGUUUAUGCAUUGUUCAUUCUAGAAAGUCUCCUUUCCACACUCGACUGUUGAAUUUCAUCUCACACAUGCAAGACUUUUGCCUUUGAGUCUCUCCCAAUUCUUUGAUCCCAUAGUUUGCUCUCCAUUUCCUAAGUCUUUUUACCUUUCCCAAUUUUUUUCACAUCUUGCCUCCUCAAUUGUUAUUGAUGCCAAUGUAAACUGUAAAUAUGUUCUUUUUCAUUUCCGUACUAUUAAGUUUAGCCUAUUUCUCCAUGUUUAUAUCACUUCCUUCUUGUGAUAUCGGGUAUAGAUUCUGAAUGCUGUAGUCUUUGAAUGUUUUUGCCUUCAGUGUUGCCUCCAGUGUUUCUUCGAUUGACCUGUACCAUGCUUCUGAUUAAUAGAUCCCUACUAAGCUUCAAAACCUUAGUCUUUUUCCUCAACACCGAACACCGCUAUCGAUCUAAACGACAGCGAUUUGGUGCCCAUCCAUGUUAAACGACACCGUCUCAUACAGUCAUACCUUCUAUAAAGGAAAGUAAACUCCAACAAUGAGCCAUUUAGCCUCCACUUGACCCCCAUUAUUUAAAAUUUUAAUGUUUGGAAUAAUUUUUUUUGAAAAAUGUGUGGUUGAAAAAAAAUAAAAUGUUUUGGAAUUUUGUGUAAUAUUAUUUUAUUGGAGAAUGUGUGGUUGAUAAGAAGAGAGAAAUGAUUAUAAUUUUCUAGGAAGCACGGACACGUUGCCGGCGUCGGUCCGACACGUAUCGGACACCAACACGUCUCCGACACGUCGCCGACGCGUGUCGGAUUUCCUUGCGACGUGUAGGAGGGCUGGAAGAAAACGGUGAAGAAGAAGUAAAGAAAAAAUGAAGAAGAGAGAGAAAAAAAUGGUGUGAUAUUCCGGCAGCCGGUGGAAGAAAGAAGAAAAGAUGAAGAAGUAGCUGGUGGAAGAAAAAGAAAAGAAGAAGAAAGAAGAGAGAGGACAGACAUGUUUGCAUUUUCCUUUGAAUUUUGUACUUUUUGACCCAACACAAUAAAAGCUUGUUUGACAGCAUGGUCCUUCUUUUAUGGACCAUGCUACAUUCACACAACCAUUUACACAAUGAUUUACACGCUCGACACUUGGCCGCCCCCUAUUGGAGGGGUGGCUG